CUCCAGCUGACGAGUCCCAAAUAGGACGAAACGCGUGUCCUGGAU
rfam:Schistosoma curassoni strain Dakar, Senegal genome assembly, scaffold: SCTD_scaffold0004319